UGCUAUAUUUGAUAGUUGUUGGCCCC
rnacentral:piRNA from 1 species